GACGAACGCUGGCGGCGUGCUUAACACAUGCAAGUCGAACGGUGAAGCGCCUUCCUUUUUGGUGGGUGUGGAUGAGUGGCGAACGGGUGAGUAAAAGUGAGUAACCCUCCCCCUUCUUCUGGAUUACCGGAUGAAAGGGGUGCCAAAUAGGGGUAAUUUGGGGCCGUUGGCUGGUGGGGUCGGGGAAGGUUAUGGUUUGGUGGGGGAAGGGGCUGGCGGCCUAUCGGCUUGUUGGGGGGGUGAUGGCCUACCAAGGCGGUGGGGGGUAGCCGGCCGGAGAGGGUGGACGGUCACACUGGGGCUGAGACACGGCCCAGACUCCUACGGGAGGCAGCAGUGGGGAAUAUUGCACAAUGGGCGCAAGCCUGAUGCAGCGACGCCGCGUGAGGGAUGGAGGCCUUCGGGUUGUGAACCUCUUUCGCCAGUGAAGCAGGCCUGCCUCGUUUGUGGGUGGGUUGACGGUAGCUGGAUAAGAAGCGCCGGCUAACUACGUG
rnacentral:rRNA from 1 species